rnacentral:rRNA from 1 species
CACGUAGGGCGCAAGCGUUGUCCGGAAUUAUUGGGCGUAAAGAGCUCGUAGGUGGCCUGUUGCGUCCGCUGUGAAAACUCAGGGCUUAACCCUGAGCCGGCAGUGGAUACGGGCAGGCUAGAGGUAGGUAGGGGAGAAUGGAAUUCCCGGUGUAGCGGUGAAAUGCGUAGAGAUCGGGAGGAACACCCGUGGCGAAGGCGGCGCUCUGGUCGGCCCCUGACGCUGAGACGCGAAAGCGUGGGGAGCGAACGGG